rnacentral:lncRNA from 1 species
CACAUGCAAUCAGAUUACAAAAUCCCAAAGAAAUAAAAGUAAAUUAAAGAAAAUUCCACCACAGCUCGUCGGAGAGCAAAAAUCAACCCCCAUUUAUACGCUUCGCCGCCGUCUCCGCCGCAGCUGGUCAAGUAAGAUCACUCAAACAUUCUUUCUUGCACAAUUAUUCCACACAUAUCUUAGCAUUCACUCAAAACUCUUAAUAGAUAUGGGAGAAUUUGAUUGAAAGGGGACGAAAUAUACUGGGCAAGAAUUCAAGAAAUUGUGAAAAACUAAUCCACGCAUCUCACCAGUUCAUAGCUGGUAUGAAAUUGUGACAACCCUCUUCAAUUCUCGUCAAACGCGACUUUAUUUAUUUAUAUAGUUUCCAUUGAUGUACGAGGGUUGUUGAUCAACUGAUUGCUUGAUUCAUAUUUUUGAUUGAUGUUCCUUUUUUUUAUUGAUAAUAAAUAAAUUCGCUAAUGCCUUAUUUUUCAGGGGAUUUUUUUUAACAAGGAAAUUUAACUUUUUUUAUGCAUCCUGACCUGUAUUUGUGUUUUGAGCUUCUUAUUUGUGCUGUGUAUAAUUGUAUCGUUACCCACAUAUUACUACUUGUGAUAAUUGUUGGUGGGCUUGUGAAUUCUUAUCUUCUGAUCCAAUGGUGUUCUCUUUCGUGUUUAGCAAUACCAGUCAAUGGAGGGGAAGUGAAAUGGUUUAGUGGUUUCUGGG